UGGGGAAUAUUGCACAAUGGGCGAAAGCCUGAUGCAGCGACGCCGCGUGAGGGAUGAAGGCCUUCGGGUUGUAAACCUCUUUCAGUAGGGAAGAAGCGAAAGUGACGGUACCUGCAGAAGAAGCGCCGGCUAACUACGUGCCAGCAGCCGCGGUAAUACGUAGGGCGCAAGCGUUGUCCGGAAUUAUUGGGCGUAAAGAGCUCGUAGGCGGUUUGUCGCGUCUGGUGUGAAAACUCAAGGCUCAACCUUGAGCUUGCAUCGGGUACGGGCAGACUAGAGUGUGGUAGGGGUGACUGGAAUUCCUGGUGUAGCGGUGGAAUGCGCAGAUAUCAGGAGGAACACCGAUGGCGAAGGCAGGUCACUGGGCCACUACUGACGCUGAGGAGCGAAAGCAUGGGGAGCGAACAGG
rnacentral:rRNA from 1 species